rnacentral:lncRNA from 1 species
AAAGCUAACAAAAUUACCGUUGUUGUCAUUUCAAUUUCUUCAAAUUUGGAGUUACGAUUUGUUUGGUAGACGAUGUUGAAUUUGAAGGUCAUAAGUAGAUUUCAGCAAAAUUAGUAAUUGGACAGACCUUCACUAAAACGGUAAUUAAUCUCUCUUUGUAACUCCAAAUUUAGUGGGGUUUGAUUUUGUGGAAAGAUAACUCGAUUACGGUCAUUUAGGUAUCCGUUUG